CCCUGCCAUUUGUACACACCGCCCGUCGCUCCUACCGAUUGAAUGAUCCGGUGAAGUGUUCGGAUUGUGUCGACGAUGGCGGUUCACCGCCAUCGACGUCGUGAGAAUUUCAUUGAACCUUAUCAUUU
rnacentral:rRNA from 1 species